rnacentral:tRNA from 1 species
GCGGGCUUCUUCAAGAUGAGGCAACAGCCUUCCAAGCUGCCAAGGCGGGUUUGAUUCCCGCAGUCCGCUCCA